rnacentral:rRNA from 1 species
UACGUAGGGUGCGAGCGUUGUCCGGAAUUAUUGGGCGUAAAGAGCUCGUAGGCGGUGUGUCACGUCGGCCGUGAAACCUGACAGCUUAACUGUGGGCGUGCGGUCGAUACGGGCAUCACUGGAGUUCGGCAGGGGAGACUGGAAUUCCUGGUGUAGCGGUGAAAUGCGCAGAUAUCAGGAAGAACACCCGUGGCUAAGGCGGCUCUCUAGUACGGUACUGACGCUGAGACGCGAAAGCGUGGGGAGCGAACAGG